rnacentral:rRNA from 1 species
AACGGGUGGAGCCUGCGGUUUAAUCGGACUCAACGCCGGGAAACUCACCAGAUAAGACAGCUGAAUGAUAGUCGGGCUGAAGACUCUACUUGACUAGCUGAGAGGAGGUGCAUGGCCGUCGUCAGUUCGUACUGUGAAGCAUCCUGUUAAGUCAGGCAACGAGCGAGACCCACGCCAACAGUUGCCAGCUCGUCCUCCGGGAUGGUGGGGACACUGUUGGGACCGCCUCUGCUAAAGAGGAGGAAGGAAUGGGCAACGGUAGGUCAGCAUGCCCCGAAUUAUCUGGGCUACACGCGGGCUACAAUGGGUGGGACAAUGGGUAUCGACACCGAAAGGUGAAGGCAAUCUCCUAAACCCAUCCGUAGUUCGGAUUGUGGGCUGCAACUCGCCCACAUGAAGCUGGAAUCUGUAGUAAUCGCGUCUCAAAAUGGCGCGGUGAAUAUGUCCCUGCUCCUU